CGCGCGCCGGUGCAUCGAGGCCGAGGGCAUCGUCAGCUUCGAACUGGCGAGCCCCGACGGGCGCGAGCUGCCUGCGUUCGACGCGGGCGCGCAU
rnacentral:tRNA from 1 species